AUUUGCAGACAUUCAAGAUUAUUUGGUUAUCAAGGGUGCUUGCCUCAAGGGACGGAACUACUUGUUCCAGUUACUAACCAAUUUGGUCUGUUCUGGUUGAACUAUGUAAGGUGACAUCCAAUCAUCCAUGUCGUAAUAAACUGACCAACCUGUGAAGCACAAGCAUUGGUGGUGUGAGUUCCAUAGUCAAAUCAGGGGUGGUGAUGUCCCAGUAGCUUCAAACAUCAAUUCAUCACAGAGAGGCUAAAUUUCAGUAUUCUAAGAGGCUAAAUCCCAAAGUUCUCAAACCUUCAUUUUCAAUCGCCUGUCUUAAACCAAAGUUAGUAGUAGCCUUUAACAGGAACAAUGGAAGCCUUCUUUGCUGCUUAUAAGAAUGUACUAAUCUCCAUAGCUUGAUGUUCCUUUUCUCUUACAGCUUCUUGUGUAAUGUAUAUAAUUUCAAACAUAUGUGCAUCUCCUUGAAUUGAAAUGAUAAACAAGAAGAAACUUCUCUUGGUAAACCCUUCAAUAUAGUUUUCCCAACAGCCCAAGCUCAUGAGAAAAAAGAAGAAAAAUGUUAUCUGGUUUGUAACAUGGAUUUAGGUGAUCUCGAACAGGUUUCCAUUUCUUUUUAAGUUUAUCCUAAUUGUGAAUAUAACCGACACUAAGCCAAUCAAUGGAUCGCUGAUAAGUAUAUUUAGAUUAGGCACACAUAUCAUGUCUUGUUCAUUUCUUCUGGAGAUGAUGGGGCUUACAUACUUCAUACUUGAUCAAUCAAGAAAAGACAUGAAAGAAUAGUACAGGUAUUAAAUAUGACAUUUACUUUGUAUAUGUAUUAUAUUGCACAUUGGAUAAAAGUUAAGGGACCAUUUUUGAUAUUAACCUUAAAUCUUAUAUAAAGGUACGGGAAAACGAAAAUAGUCAUCUCUUUUCACAUUUAACACUAAAUAUUUGUAUCCCUAGCUGCUUCUACGAAAGCAUUCUUCACAGCCACUCACGACGGUCGUCAGCUUUCUCAGCUCAGCUUCCCGGACCUCCUCUAUACUCAAGUCUUCAAAGUUUGCUCAGAAGCCAGACAUAAGCUAGUGAAGCCGAACCACAAAACAAAAGGGGAAAACAAUCCGGUUCCUAUCGACGGCCGUCGGGCAGGUCUGUAGUUUUCUUACCUUAUGGCGAUGUGUGUGGAAGACAGGAUCAGUAGUUUUCCGGAUCAUAUUCUUUUUCAUAUUUUGUCUUUCCUUCCCAUUAAAGAAGCAGUUCGAACCUCUAUUAUUUCAACCAAGUGGAGAUACCUCUUUGCUUCAAUUUCUACCAUUAAAUUUGAUGGUUCUUUAAUGAGUGGUUUGACUGACAGAAAUGUUGACAGCUUCAAGAACUUUGUUGAUAGGUUAUUGAAAUUCCCCGAUCAGGUAAGUUUAGAUUGCUUUGGGCUAAAUGAUAUUGUUUCAUGGAAUGAUAGAGAUCAUAAUUUUGAUGUUUCUGAUUGGAUAUGUGCUGCACUGUGCCGUGGUGUUAAGGAAAUUGAUCUGGACUUAGAGAAUCUUGGGGAUAUUUUACCAGCUCUUUUAUUCACUUGCCACUCACUGGUCACAUUGAAAUUGGUUGCAUUAGGUUCUGAGAUUAAGGUCCCAUCUGACGUUUGUUUAGGGAAUCUGAAGACUUUGCAGCUUGGAAACUCGGUACUUUUCGGUGAUUCCAUUCAUAGGUUAAUUUCCAAUUGCCAUGUCUUAGAAGAUUUGGCUGUUAUUGAAUGUCGUUUUGAUAAUAUAAGUGAGGUCAAUAUCCAAAGUCCUUGGCUUAAGAGAUUAGUUUUAGUUUUUAAUCUUGACGUAUUCGGCAAUAUAGAUUAUGUGUUGGUGAUUAAUACUCCAAAUCUUGUUUAUUUUCAAUAUACUGACGCAGUAGUUGAAGGCUAUAAUUUGACUAACAUGAAGUCUCUAGAAAAAGCCCAUAUUAACAUCUGCGAGAGUGAUUCCAUUGAUUGUGAAACAAGUGCAACUCAUCUUAUUCAAGGAAUUCGCAAUGUGCGGUCUCUAAGUUUAACCACUGAUGCAGCGGUUAGUAAACUUAGGAUUCAUGUGUGAUUUUCCUUCUAACAUUAUACAAUUUAACAUUAUAUAAUAGCUCCAAGUUUUUGUUUGUGCAGAUUUUCCUAACUAGUCGACUUCCUAUAUUUCACAACCUUAUUGAAUUCGAAUAUUGUGGUCUUGGUUUUGAUGGGAUAGAAACUUGGCUUGUGGAGUUUCUACAUUGUGCGCCUAAUCUAGAGACAUUUACCCUCAAUUUUCCGGUAUGAAGUCUGUGUCUAAGUUUGUGUGUAUUCGUUGCAGUUUAUUGUUUUAGUGUCAGUUAUAUCCACAGUUAUGAUAAAUUUAAAAAAAAUCGAAAGCAUGUUCGAGAUCACCUAAAUUCAUGGUACAAAGCAAAUAACUUUUCUUCUUUUUUCAUGAGUUUAGGUUGAUGCGAGAAUUCAAUGGAAGGUUUUACCUGUAAAAGUUCCGUCUUGUUUGUCAUUUCAUCUAAAGGAGAUUGAAAUUUCAUGCUCUGAGACACAUAUAAUUGAAAUGGUUAGUUAUUUCUUGAAUAAUGCAAUGGUUUUGGAAAAUCUCAUAAUAAGAAUGAAGGCCAUGACUGUGACACAGAAAAGGAAAGUCAGCAACCAAUUAUUGCAGUUACUAAAGAGUUCAAAGAAAUGUCUAAUUGUGAUUUUGUAGUACUGUUUUAUAUUAUGGUUAGAAUUACUUAUCACUGUCUGGUUUGGUUUUGUAUAGAUGUGUUGUUUGUAAUAUAUAUUUCACUGUUAAUAUCCAAUACAUUCACUAAUCGCAAUAGACUAUACCUGAUGGUUGGUUUAUAUGUAUGUGUGUAUGUAUACUUGUGUAUAUAAUGUAUACAAAACCAAAUCAGGUACCAAUAAGUUUUAACCAUAACAUAAAAUAGUACCAAGAAACCCCUCCAGCCAUAACAUAAAAUAGUACCAAGAAACCCCUCCAGUCUAACAUAACAUCGACAAGAGGCUGAAGAUCUGCCAAGCAAAUUUUACUCUAAUACGCUCUUAUAAUAUUCACAAUACAUAAUGACAGAAAUUUCUUGGUAGAAGUACCAUCAACGCUCUUUUACUAAGAGUCAAAUUGUAUUUUGCUUCUUUUAUUUUUAAAAUGAGUAAAUUAGUCUUCUUAUAUUAGAUAAAAAAGCAUAUUGGCUAUUUUUGUUAAAAAUAUCAUCCCUUUGUAACGUUAAAACCAAACAUGACUGAUAAAAUAAUCACGUCACGACUCACAUGUAUCUCAAGCUGACGACUUAUAAGAAUCAAUUUUUAAUAGUAGGAAUGAAUGAUGAAUGAAAGUUUAAUAGAAAGAUCAAUUUACUUUUUAAUUUAACAUAUAAGAGCAAAUUUACUUAUUUUUUAAGUAAAGGGUCAAAAUACAAUCUUAACUCUUAGUAAAAAGGCCUUGAUAAUACUUUUCCCAAAUUAAUUUUGAGAUGAUAUUUUAACAGAAGAAUGCACCAGAGGUCCAGAGAUGAAGAUUAGAGUUGAUAUAAUCAACACUGACAGACCUGUAAGGCGCAAGCUUUGGUGUCAAUGGUGUGAGUUCUAUAGUCAAAUUAAGGGAUCUUCAAACAUGAUUUCAUUCCUAGAGAAUCUAAAUUCCAGUAUUCUGGCAGGCUAAAAUCUAAAGUUCUCAAACCUUCAUUUCCAAUGGCCUGCUGAAAUCAAAGCUAGCCUACAACAGGAACACUGGAACCGUAGGCUUUCUUUUGGUUACAAUACAUAUAUAUUUAUGCAUAUAAUUUUAUUUGAAUUACUUGGUAACUGCAAUAAUUGUUUGCAGACUUUCCAUUACCGUCUCCCAGACAGGGUUCACAUCCUUAUCAUGAGCUUUUCCAGUACCAUUGCAUUAUCAAAGAAAUAAGUAAUCAUUUCAAACAAACAAGAAGGAACUUGUAUAGGUAAAACCUUCCAUGGAGUUUCCACACCAUCCUAAACACAUGAAAAAAGUGAUUUGGUUUGUACCAUGAAGUAAAGGUGAUCUCGAACAUGCUUUUGGUUUCUUCUAAGUGUGAAGGUAAGUGUCAUGGCAAGUAAAUGAAAGAGCUGGUGAAGUGAGAACAUCCCCAAUAUUAGCUAAAUGUAAAUCACUUUCCUUAACAUCUUGGCACAAGGCAGUCAUUCCAAGAAAUCCCAUCACUCAGCCUAAAUCGAUCUGAACUUACCUGAUUGGGGGAUUUCAAUAACCUAUCAACAAAGUUGUUGAAGCUGCUAACAUUUCUGUCAGUCAAACUUCAAUGCGUUGCUAUCAUAUUCCUUAUUGCAGGAGGUGGAGCAGGAUCAAUAUGGUCGCAUUACAACAUGUAAGAUGAAUGAUUUAGUUCAUGAUCUUGCAAAUCCAUUUCUCAUAUUAGACAAGAAAAUGUUGUUAAUGGUGUGAGAUUGUGGCACUCUUUGUUCUUCGAGUCUAGCUCCAUCCGUGCUGUAAGGGACUUCAAAAGCUUACGAGUUCUUAUUUUUUGUGAGUCUCCUUGUCACUCUCUAUUGGCAGGCUAAAGCAUUUAAGGUACUUUGAGAUUUCAAGAACUUACAUAUGUAGAUUACCAAUGUCAUCGGGCAGCUCUACCAUUUGCAGACAUUCAAGAUUAUUUGGUUAUCAAGGGUGCUUGCCUCAAGGGACGGAACUACUUGUUCCAGUUACUAACCAAUUUGGUCUGUUCUGGUUGAACUAUGUAAGGUGACAUCCAAUCAUCCAUGUCGUAAUAAACUGACCAACCUGUGAAGCACAAGCAUUGGUGGUGUGAGUUCCAUAGUCAAAUCAGGGGUGGUGAUGUCCCAGUAGCUUCAAACAUCAAUUCAUCACAGAGAGGCUAAAUUUCAGUAUUCUAAGAGGCUAAAUCCCAAAGUUCUCAAACCUUCAUUUUCAAUCGCCUGUCUUAAACCAAAGUUAGUAGUAGCCUUUAACAGGAACAAUGGAAGCCUUCUUUGCUGCUUAUAAGAAUGUAC
rnacentral:lncRNA from 1 species